rnacentral:rRNA from 1 species
AUUGAACGCUGGCGGCAUGCCUUACACAUGCAAGUCGAACGGCAGCACGGGGCAACCUGGUGGCGAGUGGCGAACGGGUGAGUAAUGCAUCGGAACGUGCCAUUGAGUGGGGGAUAACGUAGCGAAAGUUGCGCUAAUACCGCAUAUUCUGUGAGCAGGAAAGCAGGGGACCGCAAGGCCUUGCGCUCUUUGAGCGGCCGAUGUCAGAUUAGCUAGUUGGUGAGGUAACGGCUUACCAAGGCGACGAUCUGUAGCGGGUCUGAGAGGAUGAUCCGCCACACUGGAACUGAGACACGGUCCAGACUCCUACGGAGGCAGCAGUGGGGAAUUUUGGACAAUGGGCGCAAGCCUGAUCCAGCCAUGCCGCGUGAGUGAAGAAGGCCU